UUGAUGGUCCCAGAGGCUGAGUCCUCUAUGCACAAUAGCCAGACAAGCUUUCUUGACAAAGUGCCUUACACCUGUUCUGGAGGGACCACCUCAGAAAAGAGAGGGUAGUACAGCCUCCAGGGUUCAUUUAAUCCUUGGCCUCU
ensembl:misc_RNA